rnacentral:miRNA from 1 species
CAGCAGACAAAUUCCAGCCAAUCAGCAGCAGACCCUCCCUCCCAGACCCCAGCACCUCCUGGACAGCAUCCAUUUUACAUUCAUUGUGAAGCUGCAUUCUUAGUGAGCUGUCCAGGAGGUGGGAGGGUGUGGGAGGGAGGGUCUGCUGCUGAUUGGCUGGAAUGUGUCUGCUG